AUCACGGGCCCGGGAUUCUCCAUCAGCCGUCGGGAAGGCGAACCAGGCGGAGGUCUGGGCGCGUCGGGCAAGUUGCGUGCGAUUCCGGUUUCCCCUCCUCGACUGAAAUCAGCCGCCGUCUUUCUCCAUCGCUGCUGUUCUGCCUUUUUCAACCCGGGGGUUUGUUUUGCUGUGCAAAUCCGUUCAUGCUCCAGAUGCAAGCAUGCUGUUUUAUCAGGUCUCCUCAUUACAUUGCCCUGAUAAAUCACUAGUAGUAAGACAAACCAGUGCCUCUGAGAGAAACACUCCAUUACAAGGUCUCUUUAGUCAUUCAUGGAUGAUGGGAGCAACCCCCUGCAGCUUCACUGUGUACCAUCCAUUCAGAAGGAGAAAACAGAGCUAGCCUUCCAUUAAUGCAGAUGAAAUGUCACCCACAGGAGAAUUAUGCAUAAGUGCAGUGAUUUAUUCCUAUGCCAUCCGAAAAGUUUGGAUUAGUCUCACAUGUCAUUCCAAACCCAAAUAACCUGGGGAGGGGGGGAAAUUAGAAUUUUUUUAUUAGUUCUAUUGUUACCUUCCUUAUUUAAUUAUAUGUCUUUUCCAUUUUGGCUCCCUACUUUUAGACUUGCAGGAUAAUUCAGGUUGAAAGGAAUCUCAGGAGGACGUCAAGUAAAACCCUCUGUGCAGAGGGUUUGCUUUACUUUGCCCUCUAGAGCAGGCAACUGAAGACUUUGCUAAGUUCAGAAUGUCUCUGCAAACAGAUUCCAUCAUCUUUCCAGACACCCUUUGCUGGUUCUUUCCCUGCAUAUGCAUAAGCUCAGUUCUAAAACUGUCCCCACCCAAUUUCCACAGUCACUCCAGUUUCAUUAAAUUUGCAGCUAGGAGACAGCAACAACAAUUCCAUGAGAGCAGUAGGAGCCUGGUAACAGGCAGAGAGGAAGUCCAGUAGACUUGAAGAGGUAAUUUCCCCUGAAUUUAUGGAAAGGGGAGAGGCAAUUAAUUUAUAGCUAUCUACAACUAAUGAGCAGUAAGAAGGAAAAGGAAAAUUUUAGCAGUGAGACAGCAAGAGAAAGGACUGGUAGAGCCAAUAACUUAUUUGCAAAUGCCCUUUUUCUUCAAUUGAACCAAAUUCAGGUUCAAUGGAAACAUUGUACCUCAGGGUGAAAUCAUUCAGGAAAGUUGCUAAUGGGUAGAAGAGUCCAGUUGGUCUCUUUUUUCACUCCCUCAAUAUUUUCUGCAUCAAUACUAUUUUUUUCUGUUUGCUUUCUGUGACUGCAAGUCCUAUCUGGUCUCUGGACAAUGGCAGGUUGCAGGUGAAAUUCCCAAAACCUGAGAAUAGAAGCAAGUUGUUUUUCUGCUAUGUAUAUACUCAUUCCCUCUUUCUCUGUGUGACACUUUCUCUGUAACAAAAUUUAUGUUCAGGCUGGCUGGCCUGCUGCUACAGCUUUCAGUUAAAAAACACAGGAAUUAUCAGGUAACUUUAUCUUUCUGCAGCUGUUGUCUUUUUCCAUCAUACCUGACCCACUGGUGUUGAAAGAUGCCUCUGGUCUGAAAAGAUCUGAUACUAACAAGAGAAACACUGAUCUCUGGGAAUUCAGAGGAAAAAGGCAAAAAUGCUCCUUUCCAAUAUGUGGUGAAAACUUCUGUACCACAGAUACAGGCUCUGCUAGAAAAGCCAUGCUUUGACCAUAUUUUUGGUUGUCACAGAAAUUAGUUUAUAGCUUAACUUCACAACUGUUUCUAUUUUUUAGUAAUUAGGGGAUGCAACUGUAACACACUAUCACUUUUCUAUAACAACAUUUAAGAAGAACACAGAUCAAAGCAAUGUAGCUCUACAUCACAUUUUGUGUCAAAGGUAUGCUGGUUGCUCUACAGAGCCACCCUAAAAUAUAACCUUGGAACCGUCAAAAGAGACAUUGUUGUCAGUUCCUCGUAAAUGAGUAUGUGGCUGAAGGCAAAUAAUUCCAAAUUGUGAUGAUAAGGGGCUACAGAGAUACAAACUAAGCAGUCUCAACACACUUCUUGUUCCAUUCUUUCAAACAUAGGCACUCUGAAGUCUGGUAACUAUUUUAUUAUCAUUAUCAACAUCUGUUGCUGUAUAGAAAUUUCUGUUACUUCAGAAUUGUUAUUUGUAAGUAAAAAUAAUCUAUGACAUUUACCUUUGAAAAUAAACCUGUCAUGCAGUUCAAUUGGUAGGAAGAAACUCAGAGAAACAAUUUAAAAUAAAUUUCAGAACAGCUUUACGUUUUAU